rnacentral:rRNA from 1 species
AUUGAACGCUGGCGGCAGGCUUAACACAUGCAAGUCGAACGAGUGGCGGACGGGUGAGUAAUGCUUGGGAAUCUAGCUUAUGGAGGGGGAUAACUACGGGAAACUGUAGCUAAUACCGCGUACCAUAGGAUGAGCCCAAGUGGGAUUAGGUAGUUGGUGAGGUAAAGGCUCACCAAGCCGACGAUCUCUAGCUGGUCUGAGAGGAUGACCAGCCACACUGGGACUGAGACACGGCCCAGACUCCUACGGGAGGCAGCAGUGGGGAAUAUUGCGCAAUGGGGGCAACCUGACGCAGCCAUGCCGCGUGAAUGAAGAAGGCCUUCGGGUUGUAAAGCACUUUUGUUAGGGAGAUGUUACCUAAAGAAUAAGCACCGGCUAACUCCGUGCCAGCAGCCGCGGUAAUUC